GACGAACGCUGGCGGCGUGCUUAACACAUGCAAGUCGAGCGAGGCCCCUCCUUCGGGAGGGUGUCCUAGCGGCGAACGGGUGAGUAACACGUGGGCAACCUGCCCUCAGCUCUGGGAUAACUCCGGGAAACCGGGGCUAAUACCGGAUACGACCUCCACGGGCAUCUGCGGAGGUGGAAAGUUUUUCGGCUGAGGAUGGGCCCGCGGCCUAUCAGCUAGUUGGUGGGGUAGUGGCCCACCAAGGCGACGACGGGUAGCCGGCCUGAGAGGGCGACCGGCCACCUGGGGCCUGGGGCCCGGCCCGGCCCCCUACGGGGGGGAGGGGUGGGGAAUUUUGGGCAAGGGGGGAACGCCUGCCGGGGGGGCGCCGGGGGGGGGACGAAGGCCUUCGGGUUGUAACCCUUUUUCAGCGGGGAGGAAGCGAAAGUGGCGGUACCUGCAGAAGAAGCACCGGCCAACUACGU
rnacentral:rRNA from 1 species